CGAAAGGUAUUGUGAUGUUUGGGACAUUUCAGGAACGUAGAAAAUCAUAAUAAAGAGUUUAACGUAAAUAUAGCAAGUCACAAAGCUUGCCGUUUCCUUUUAUAUGCAAAGUUUACAGUCGACGCGACGCCAGGAAGUACAGCCGCUGCCACGCUUCUUCUACACAACGAAGGCUCGCAUUACUGCAGAAAACAAAAUACUACAUUGACUUAUUUAUACUUUAGAACGAAACUUGUUUUAUGUCAACUAAAACUAUUCAACACUAAUAAACAAAAGGUAUUAUAUUCAACACUACAUGAAAAUGUAGACAUUUGACUGUGUAAAGAAAUUGAUCUCAGCAACGAAGACGUCUCAACGAGAUAUGAGGUCAGUGAAUUAUGAUAUGGAAUUUCAAAACAUGUGAGCUAAAAAACUAGAAUGGAGACUAAAGUCUAGACAUUAAAAACUGCUGGUACAUCUCUUAUCAUUAUCCGUAGUUGUAUAUCUUUCACAAUAGACAAAGUGUUAACAAAGGUUCUCAUAGAAAUUCUUUCUGUAAAAUUUCCACAAGAAAUUACAAGAUGUUUGGUUGUCAUAUAAUUGGCCAUCAUUGAGAUAAUUAUUCAUACAGCUUGAUUCAUAAUUGUUUAGGAAUAUAUUGUUUUAUAUUAAAC